UAGGGAAUCUUCGGCAAUGGGGGGAACCCUGACCGAGCAACGCCGCGUGAGUGAAGAAGGUUUUCGGAUCGUAAAGCUCUGUUGUUAAGGAAGAACGAGUGUGAGAAUGGAAAGUUCAUGCUGUGACGGUACUUAACCAGAAAGGGACGGCUAACUACGUGCCAGCAGCCGCGGUAAUACGUAGGUCCCGAGCGUUGUCCGGAUUUAUUGGGCGUAAAGCGAGCGCAGGCGGUUAGAAAAGUCUGAAGUGAAAGGCAGUGGCUCAACCAUUGUAGGCUUUGGAAACUGUUUAACUUGAGUGCAGAAGGGGAGAGUGGAAUUCCAUGUGUAGCGGUGAAAUGCGCAGAGAUAUGGAGGAACACCAGUGGCGAAGGCGACUUUCUGGUCUGUAACUGACGCUGAUGUGCGAAAGCGUGGGGAUCAAACAGG
rnacentral:rRNA from 1 species